rnacentral:rRNA from 1 species
ACACUCCUACGGGAGGCAGCAGUGGGGAAUCUUGCGCAAUGGGCGAAAGCCUGACGCAGCCAUGCCGCGUGAAUGAUGAAGGUCUUAGGAUUGUAAAAUUCUUUCACCGGGGACGAUAAUGACGGUACCCGGAGAAGAAGCCCCGGCUAACUUUGUGCCAGCAGCCGCGGUAAUACGAAGGGGGCUAGCGUUGCUCGGAAUUACUGGGCGUAAAGGGAGCGUAGGCGGACAUUUAAGUCAGGGGUGAAAUCCCGGGGCUCAACCUCGGAAUUGCCUUUGAUACUGGGUGUCUUGAGUAUGAGAGAGGUGUGUGGAACUCCGAGUGUAGAGGUGAAAUUCGUAGAUAUUCGGAAGAACACCAGUGGCGAAGGCGACACACUGGCUCAUUACUGACGCUGAGGCUCGAAAGCGUGGGGAGCAAACAGGAUUAGAUACCCCAGUAGUCCCAUGA